rnacentral:rRNA from 1 species
UGGGGGAUAUUGCACAAUGGGCGAAAGCCUGAUGCAGCGACGCCGCGUGGGGGAUGAAGGCCUUCGGGUUGUAAACUUCUUUUGCUCUGAACAAGGCGCACCAUGGGGUGUGUUGAGUGUAGGGGUUGAUUAGCGCCGGCUAACUACGUGCCAGCAGCCGCGGUAAUACGUAGGGCGCGAGCGUUGUCCGGAAUUAUUGGGCGUAAAGGGCUUGUAGGUGGCUGGUUGCGUCUGUCGUGAAAGCUCAUGGCUUAACUGUGGGUUUGCGGUGGGUACGGGCUGGCUUGAGUGCAGUAGGGGAGGCUGGAAUUCCUGGUGUAGCGGUGGAAUGCGCAGAUAGCAGGAGGAAUACCGGUGGCGAAGGCGGGUCUCUGGGCUGUUACUGACACUGAGGAGCGAAAGCAUGGGGAGCGAACAGG